rnacentral:piRNA from 1 species
UGAUAGACGCCAAUUUGGGUAG